UACGUAGGAGGCAAGCGUUGUCCGGAAUUACUGGGUGUAAAGCGCGUGUAGGCGGCACGUUAAGUUUGUGGUGAAAGCGCCCGGCUCAACCGGGCAGAGUCCACAGAAACUGGCGGGCUGGAGGUCGGUAGAGGCGAGUGGAAUUCCCGGUGUAGUGGUGAAAUGCGUAGAGAUCGGGAGGAACACCAGUGGCGAAGGCGGCUCGCUGGGCCGGACCUGACGCUGAGACGCGAAGGCGUGGGGAGCGAACGGG
rnacentral:rRNA from 1 species